rnacentral:RNase_P_RNA from 1 species
GCGGAUGGCUGGAUGGCUGCACCUGUAAGGGUGAGGAAAGUCCGGACUCCAUGGAGAAGUGACGCCGGUUAACGGCCGGCCGGGGUAACCCGAGGGAAAGUGCCACAGAGAACAGACCGCCUUGCGUGCAAGGUAAGGGUGAAACGGUGGAGUAAGAGACCACCGCGUUGCUGGCAACAGGAACGGCACGGUAAACCCCGUCAGGAGCAAGGCCAAAUAGGGAUCGCGCGUCGCAAGACAGGUCUUCAACCGAGCGAUCCGGGUUGGCUGCAAGAGCCUGUUGGUAACAGCAGGCCCAGACGAAUGGUCAUCGAAGGGCUUAGGCCCGGAACAAAAUCCGGCUUACAGGCCAUCCGCAUAU